UACAGAGGUGCCAAGCGUUAGGCGGAAUCACUGGGCCUAAAGCGCGCGUAGGCGGAUGUUUAAGUGUCUUGUGAAAUCCCACGGCUCAACCGUGGAACUGCUGGGCAUACUGGACAUCUCGAGGCACUCAGGGGCGAGCGGAACAAGUGGUGGAGCGGUGAAAUGCGUAGAUAUCACUUGGAACGCCAAUGGUGAAGACAGCUCGCUGGGGGUGUCCUGACGCUGAGGCGCGAAAGCCAGGGGAGCGAACGGG
rnacentral:rRNA from 1 species